GUCAUAAGUACCUCCUCCAGUCUUCCAAGUCUGUGAAGAAAUACAGGAAGAACAAAGUCAAUGUGAUUUCCAAGCGAGUGAAUAUUCUGUGAAGCAAUUUGUGAUGACAAUAUUUCCAAACUGGAAUGAGGAUGAGGAUUUUCUGAUCCACACAUUGUUUCUGCCAAGACAUGUUGUGUUAACCUGUAAUGAGGCAGUGUGGAAGAAGCAGAAGUUAUGUUUAUUUGCACUUGUGGUGUGACUCAGCCAGGUCUCCAAGGCAAGCCUCAGGAGAUUCUACAGCUCUCCUCACUACACCAUUCACAAAAUCCCUCUUCAGGGGCUUGGCUCUGCCAACAGAACUGGCCCUGCUUCUACUGAGAUUUAUAUAAUUACUGGUUUAGUGUCAGGCACUUGAAGGAAACAAGCUGGUGGAGGACCAAAAACCACUGUGGGACCCUACCUAUAUUGCAUGUCUGGACUGAAAAACUGAAAGCACAUAAAUGUACCAUGACUGUGAGUACAAGCAUUCAUUCUGGAUGCCUUAGUCAAAGAAGAAAAAGCAGCAUCCUUCACACUACAGAGCACAAUGUCAUUUUAAGAUUCUGCUGUACUGCUGGCACAGAAUGCUGAUGACAUCUGUGACCUUAAAUUCAAAGGCCAAUUUCAGAAGAACAGGCACUGAAUGCAUCUGAGGAGAAAAUCUACUCUGCAAAGCUUUUUGUCUGUUUCCUGUUCAACUACAAUGAAGAACCAAACCCAUGGGAAGCCAUUUUUCAGACUUCCACAUAAGCCUUUAGCACACCUCCCACCUGUGACCAACCUCGACUCUUCAAAU